CCCUUAGACGUUCUGGGCCGCACGCGCGCUACACUGACCAGUGCAACAAGCAUCCGUCCUUGGCCGACAGGCUCGGGCAAUCUUUGAACGCUGGUCGUGAUGGGGAUAGACUUUUGCAAUUUUUGGUCUUCAACGAGGAAUUCCUAGUAAACGCAAGUCAUCAACUUGCAUUGAUUACGUCCCUGCCCUUUGUACACACCGCCCGUCGCUCCUACCGAUGGGGUGAUCCGGUGAAUGAUUCGGACUUCCGCAGUGCUAGCUACUAGCUUUGUGGAAGAAAGUCUUGUGAACCUUAUCACUUGGAGGAAGGAGAAGUCGUAACA
rnacentral:rRNA from 1 species